AGGGAAUCUUCCGCAAUGGACGAAAGUCUGACGGAGCAACGCCGCGUGAGUGAUGAAGGUCUUCGGAUCGUAAAACUCUGUUAUCAGGGAAGAACAAGUACCGGAGUAACUGCCGGUACCUUGACGGUACCUGACCAGAAAGCCACGGCUAACUACGUGCCAGCAGCCGCGGUAAUACGUAGGUGGCAAGCGUUGUCCGGAAUUAUUGGGCGUAAAGCGCGCGCAGGCGGUCUCUUAAGUCUGAUGUGAAAUCUCGUGGCUCAACCACGAACGGUCAUUGGAAACUGGGGGACUUGAGUGCAGAAGAGAAGAGCGGAAUUCCACGUGUAGCGGUGAAAUGCGUAGAGAUGUGGAGGAACACCAGUGGCGAAGGCGGCUCUUUGGUCUGUAACUGACGCUGAGGCGCGAAAGCGUGGGGAGCGAAC
rnacentral:rRNA from 1 species